GCCUGGCUCCCUUCUUAGUCCCGGAAAUGCAAAGGUUCAGGAUGCCUUCAGGGCCCCACUGAGCAUGUGCAAGGGUCCCAAUUCGAAGCAUUGAAUCCCCCAUGGUAUGCACUGGUGUGGAACUACAAUUUGCACUCACUCCGCUUUCCCUGAAUCCGCAUCAUGUGACUUCCUUCAAUUCGAUUCCUCCUCAGUUCAGAAGAGCAACAGAAGAGCAACCAGAAUAUUUGGAUUCCCAGCUGUGUGAAUAACCGAUGUGAAGAAACCCAGGAUAAAUCUGAAUAAAAAUCCGUAUGCCGUGAACAUGCUUUGAAUACAUUGCAUAAUUGACGACAUCUUUAUUCGAGUGCUGACAUGUGUGAGCAACUGAUCUUGCAGAGAUGCACAGAGAUGAGGUGAACAACAUAUCUAGAAUGCAUGUGCCUCCUCUCACUGGACCAGCUUGCACCAUAUGGAGAGUGAGGAGAGGAAAACAGGUCACACAGAAAUGCUCUGCAUAUACCAGCCAUCAAGUGAAUCAAUCUGUGGCACAAGCAUUUCUGCUUAAUUGUCAUUGACUUACCCAUUUAUUUCUAAGCUUGCCUUUGGCAAUAUUUAUUGACAACUAGCAAAAAUAUUUUAUUGACUUGCAAACCAAUGCCCGUACUAGAAUUUUGGCUCAUUCACAUAAAGUUGGGUGAGAGUUUUGUGGCACUCUGGAUGUUAUUGGACUGCAUUUCCCGGUAUGGUGAAAAAUAAUCCUGGUAGAAUGUGAGUUGAAUAUUUCUUGUUCACAUCUAUUUCAAAUGAACCUGAGAAAGCUAGUGGUGUGUGCAAACACACACACACCCCACAUAACCCAGAAUAACUGAUCUUGGGUUCUUUCUCAGCUUUUCCUAAAAGAUUUGCAUUGUCAGCUGUGUGAAUAACUGAAUGUGAAUGGAAAGAUAAAUUGUGAUAAAGUUCUGCAUGCCUUAAAUAUGUUUUGAAUGCAUCUGCACCAUCAACGCUAUCUUUCUGUGCAGUGCUGACACAUGUAAGCAAAAGAAUUUGCAGAGAUGCACAUAGAUGAGGUUCUGAUAAAAAAAAA